GGGGGAAUGGCUGAAAUAUCCAUGACUACUGGUUUUGCCACCUGGAGGUUUCCUUUGAACACCAAAUCUUGGCUUCUGUUUUUAUAAGAGAAUGUCACAGCUCUUCAACUAAAAUUAUAAAUGCCUCAUGGGCAGUGCCCGUAAUUUAUAAUUCUUAGGACCACUUCCUUCCCCACAAGUCCAGCGCAGGCCAGUCAGAAACAGGUAAAUACUUCUAUGAAGGAAUGAGUGAGUGACCACGUGAUUUCCCAGAAGGCUUAUCCAGAAACAACACUUGUGAUCCAUCUCUCCCACUGGCCAUGGUGUGCGUGAUGAACUUCGUAUCCAUAGGAGAAUGCAGAUGGAGAGAAGGACAUUUAUUAUGCUGUCAGAGAGGGGAAAGCAACAAGGUGGGCCUUCUGAUUCUCUUCCUGCUGGCUGGGCCCUGUGGCCAACAGUUAGGGAAUGACAAUGUGUCUCCAUUUCCUCCAGGGCUCAAGGGACCAUGACAGGCUCAGGUCAUCAUCACCCAUGGAGCUAGCCAGGGACAGCCUACCUGUCAAGUGGCUGGAACGUAGUAAGAUAAACUCCUGGAAAAAUCAUGAAAACAUAAUCGUGGGGUUCUUGUGCAAUAAAAAAAACAAUUUAAACAAAGAAAAUGAUGGAAGGACAUAAAUGAUACGAGAAUCACUGCAGAAAAAAACCACAUUCUUAGGAAAAUGCAAUAUUGUGAAGAUAUCAAGAAAAAAAGGAAAGCUAAAAAAAUUGAAAACAUUUUAAAGGAAAGAAAAAUAUCAAGAUGCAGAUAACCAAGCUGAAAAGAAAAAAUACUUUCUCAUGCUCAACAUAAGAAUGACUUAUCAUUACAGUUUCUUUCUUUCUAGUGCUUUUCUCACUAUGUGUUUUUUCAAGGAUGUGAAGAGGUUUAUAGUCUAAACUGUCUUCAGCUUGUUAUGUAGUCAUGACAAUAUAAUUUUUAACAUGAAAAUUUAUUUAUUUAUUUUAAUAGUAAAUAAGAGGGAGAGCCUGUGUAUGCAAAGAGUGGGGGGGAGGUGCAGAGGGAGAGGGAGAGAGAAACUUAGGCAGACUCCACACUGAGCAUGGAAGCCAAUUUGGGGCUCGAUCUCAUGAACCUGAGAUCCAAUGAGCUGAGCUGAAACCGAGUUGGAUGCUUACCCGACUGUGACACCCAGGCACCCCAUGACAAUAUAAUUUCAGUGGCUAAAAUGUAUUCUAUAAGGAUGUUUCAUUGCACAUUGUUUAAUUAUUAUCCAGUGUUGGAUUUCAGAGCACUAUGGGUUACAUUAUUGUGCAUAUCCCUUUUUGUUGAAUUAGUUCUUAAGACCAUAUUUGGCUAAAUGAAAUUGUCAAGUUAGAACAUUUGGACUUUUAAUAAUUCUUGAUUAAUAAUGCCAAAAUGUUUUCCAAAACAA
rnacentral:lncRNA from 12 species